GACGGAAGGUGCAAGCGUUGCUCGGAAUCACUGGGCGUAAAGGGUGCGUAGGCGGCCGUGCAAGUCUGGCGUGAAAGCCCCGGGCUCAGCCCGGGAAGUGCGCUCGAAACUGCGCGGCUCGAGUGCCGGAGGGGAGAGUGGAAUUCCUGGUGUAGCGGUGAAAUGCGUAGAUAUCUGGAGGAACACCGAUGGCGAAGGCAGGUCUCUGGGCCACUACUGACGCUGAGAAGCGAAAGCAUGGGGAGCGAACAGG
rnacentral:rRNA from 1 species